CUGGAUGGGACACAUUCCUAUGUUCAUAUAUGACUACAGACCAGGGUAACUCCACAUAAUGUACAACCAAAAGACUGGGAUCUUAAUCAGAAUAAGUUACUCUCCAUGUAUGUAUAAUGUGUCAAAAUAUACUCUAGUGUCAUGGAACACACAGAAAUGCAAAUACUGAAAUUACUAGAAUUAUCAGGGCAAAAACAAGAGGGAAUUUUGGUGAUCUUGAGAGAGGAAAGAUGUCUUAGAAUUAUACUGAAGGUACAAUCAGGAAAAACUUUUAAAUUUUUUUUUUUAUUUUUUAUUUUAUUUUCUUGGUAUGGAGGAUUGAACCUAUGGGCACUUAACCACUGAUCCACAUACCCAGCUCUUCUUUAUAUUUUAUUUAGAGACAAAGAUGCUUCAGGCCUCCCUAAGUUGCCAAGGCUGGUUUUAAACUCACAAUCCUUCUGCGCCAGCCUCCUGAGCCACUGGAAUUACAGGCAUGAACCACUACACCAGCAAGAACAGAAAAUUUGAUAAAGAGUACCUCAUCAAAUUUAUAAGAAUUUUCUCUUCAAACACCAUAAAGAAUGUGAAAACAGUCUCUAGAUUUAAGCAUUCCAAAAUCUAUGCAUACAUCAAUAUAUCAUUAUUUUACUAAUGUUUUAAGUUAUAAUUAUACAAAUAAUUCUAAUGUGAAAAUAUUUUUAGAAAGAAGCUGCUGAACAGGAGACACUAUUUCACAUUAUAUAUUUGAUUAGUUUCUUUCUAGUGUGUAGAUUAUAGCGAACUCUAGUGAGUUCAUAAUUAAAUCAUGGUUGGCCAAUUAAAAAAUGAGUUCAGAAUUGUGAAACCCUGAAUAUGGCUGCUGGUUUGAUGGUGUUCCCUGAGGAUGAAGUUCAAAAUGGCAAUUGUCAACCUUCAGUCCCGAACAUCUGGAUGAUCCUACAGUAAGGCCACCCCUAUCCUGGAUCAGAACAGGGUUCCUGUAGUGGUAUUUUAACUCACCUGUUUUUCCAAAGGUUAUUGAUAUGCUCUGUGCAAAUACCCCCACCUCUGAAAUCUGGGGGAUCUUAGAGUAUGUCUCCACUUGCUGCUCAGGUGACACAAUCUGAGGCUAACAUGGACCCUAAGAACUCUGCAGCCAUGUGUUCCUGCAAGAGCCCGGAAGGGGGAGCCCUUCCCACUCACUUCACCCUUCUCCUGCAGGAUUUUUUAAUUGGAGGAGGAAUGAUGGGGUCUGACUCUUAUUUAUGCUUUCACUGCAAGUGAGGAUACAGAACCACUCCAAAGCUGUAAAGGAUAGAGUUAGCGUCAUGUUCAACUCUAGCAUUAACUAAUCAUAAAAAAAUAAAAGCCUCCCCCCCAAACCAGCAUAUUAGGAGUGAAAGCAUUGUCAGGAGGAGAGUAGACAUCUCUUUCCAUAAUCUUCCUGGAAUCCCAGAAGACACUGGCCAGUAUUCCUGGCUCCUCAGAGCUGGAGAUGCUGAUUGGAUCUCGGUGGGCCCCAGCUUCACCUGCUGCUGAGGAAGUGGGUGCACCUGGCCUUGUGUGAGGAGCCUCUUCCACUGACAGGGCUUUGGCCCGCAGGCCAGGAGACUGUAUGGGAGGCUGGGUCUCCAUGAGGCCUCCCUCAGAACCGUGUGCCAGUCCCCUCAUUCCCGCUGCCCAGUGUGAUCCAGCUAUUAUCACACAAAAGUGCACACAUGUGAGCCUGCCAUGUACAAAAGUGUCCCAAGCAUCACAAGGAACAAGUGAAAGAGGCCACAAAAUCAGUGAGCUUGGAGAAUCAGGAAGCCGGAGACUGAAGCCAUCCAGGUCAUUCUAACAUAGCCCAAGACAGAGGAGAGCCCCGGAAGGGCCUAGUCUUUAGCACAGUUCUCCUUUAUAGUUCGGGACUCAAGUGACCGCCCACCAGCAAACCCUGUGCUGUCCUUAUCCAGGGCCACACAGCCACAGGUACUGUUUGCUCCUCUUCUGUCCUCCUCUAGUGUUUUCCUUAAUGAUCUAGAAACCCAGAUGACGAGGAUGCUGAUCCCAGAGCACAGACUCUAGGUGGCAGAAUUUCCUUCUGCUGGGGAUCAUCUUUGUUUUGACCCAGAUCAACUGUGUUCCCAUCUGCCGUUUAUACUUUUCCCUACACCCAUGCCCACUGCACCUCAUCUUCUCAGGUAGACACACGUAGAGGAUCACAGCAUUGUCCCCUUCACACAGGAGGAAACUAAGCCUCUUGUGAGACCCACUCAUCACAGGGGCCAUUUGUGGGAAUCACUCUGAAUGACCCACACCUUCCAGUCCUGAAGCAAGAAGCUCCAAUCAAUCACUCGGGCAUUGCUACAGCUCAAGAAGUAAAAGGCAUGUCUUCAGAUGUAGAUGAGUCACCAAUGGGGUUGAGCGACACUCACCUGUUCUAUUGUAAUCCUACCCCUUUGCCCUGUUUGGGAUAAAAUGUUCCUUGGAAACUCCCUUUGUGUGUUCCCUUCUCUUGCUGUGCCUUUGGAUGUGGCCUCCCUAGAUGUCAGUCAACCUGCUGGCAGCAGACAACAGAAAGCUAGACUCAGCCCCCUGAAACCUGACCCCUUGCCUCAUUUGAAUGGCUUCUCCUCAAUAAAAGGGUUCAGCAUGUGUGUGUGUGUGUGUGUGUGUGUGUGUGUGUGUGUGUGUGUUCUCUCUCUCUCUCUCUCUUUCCAUGGACCCCUGAGGUCUGAGCUGCCAUCACAACACCCAAAGGAAAAGGUAUCUCUGUCUCUGUCUCUUGUGUGAUUAUUUCAUGCAGCUCAGUUCGCCUGGAGUGACCCUGAGUGUUUUAGUCAUGAGGAAUGCGACAAUUGGUUGCCCAUAUGGUGACUCCAGGGUGAGUUUUAAAAAUUCAGUUCAUUUGGAAUUUCUCUCCAGAAGUUAAGAGCGCUUAGGAUUGUAGAGUAUUGUGGACUGAAUUGUAGAAAGUAAGUAAAUUAGACAGAAGAAAAAUCUGUGAGGUUAAACUUUUUACUAUCUGGGAAUAUUUUGUCUUUAGAAAUUUUUUUUUUUUAUAAUUCUAGAGACUCUAAAUAAAUGUAAUGAGUUAUUAAGAUGAUUAGUGGGAUAUGUUGUUGAGUCCUCUCCCAUGGGGAAAGUGCUUUUGUGGACUUUUUUAGAUUGUUUGUAUGAAUCUUUAUGUUUUAAAAUAUUAGAUAAAGACUUUUUGGGUUAAUGUACUAGAAGUCAGCGCUUGGAGAGUGAGAAAACAGGGAAGGAAAAUGUUGUGAUGAGACUCAAUACAAGGAUUCUUUCCCCGUAGAGAAGUAAGUUUUAUUUUUCUCUUGUUUUUGUGAACUCUCGCUUUAUACUCCUAUGGGUCCGAUGGCUGCAACUUGGCCGCUGCUCCCUGUGGUGUCUGUAACUGGACUCACCCCCAGCACUGCUUAUGACCCUUAAGCGACCUGGCCUGGGUGCCUAAUGCAGACUGCCUUAAAAUCUGAUAGUAACUCUGGUGUCUGCCAUUAAAGCUCACUUUUAAAGUCCCACGUGCUGCCAGGGAAAGUACAAAGGCAGGAGGACACAAGCUGCAGGCACAGGUCGCCCGUGGGAUCCCGCCAAGGCCGGGGAAUACAGACAAACCAAAUGGAAUGCCACAGCCUAGGGCAGCCCUAGGGCAGCGGGCUCCAAGCUGUUUCCAUCACCAUGGUAACCGCCCAAGCCUGGCCGCAGAGCGGGCUUCCUGGUCCCGCCUCCUGCAUUUCAACGGGCUUCCCAUUGGUCCUUCCAACUGUCACUCAGACAGGACUUCUGGUUCCGCCUUCCAGCCACUAACCUGUACUUCCUGUUUCAGACCUGCUACCCAGAUAAAUGCCCAGAACCUGCAUUUUUAGGAACACCCACCUGUAAGUGCCAACAAAGUUCUUUUUCAGGCAAAAUCUAAUCCCACAGUUUCCUUCGUUCCUUGCAGCCCUAAGCCGGACUUGCUCUCAAGGCCAAAUAACUUGAUUUCUUACCCCUCAGCAGCUUCCCUUGGGACCCUUCCUUUUCCUUUCUAUGGUUAUGUUGCAAUGAUUCUGGGAUGACCCCAAAAUCCUUAUUCUUGUUCCUGACUGUAUAAUUACAAGAAAUAAGUAAAUGUAUACACAAGGAUCAUCAGCCACAUCACGUGACUUCACAGGCAAGCGUUCACUCCUAGUUAAAAACAAAUCGAAAUGGAUCCAACAUAUCUUAAGAACCACGUGGUUACAUAAAGUUAAACAAUUAUAUUGUAUUAAUUACAGGUUAUGUAUACUGUAUUAAUUAUCUACAGAAAAAUCCAAGGACUUUAACUAUAUUUUCAUCGAUAUUUCUUUCCUUUUUUUUAAAAUAUAUUUUUUAAAAUUGUUGAUGGACCUUUACUUUUUAAAUUUAUUUGUAUUUAGUGUUGAGAAUCGAACCCAGUGCCUCAUGCAUGCCUGGCAAGCGUGCUACCACCGGGCCCCAACUCCAGCCCUCAUUGAUAUUUCUUUUUAUCAAGGUACAAAGAUUCUAAGGUUUUCAGAAAUUAGUUCAAAGUAUAACCAGGAAAAAUUCUAAAAGGAAUUUCAACAGAGGAGAAGCACACAUUGGAGGUCCUAAGAAGAAAGAAAUCAUCUUUGGGAGCCAUCACAGAACCCAAAGAAAAAGGUCUCAGUGUCUCUUGUGUGGUUAUUUCGUGCAGCUCAGUUCCCCUGGAGUGACCCUGAGUGUUUUUGUGUGAGGAAGUGGCAGCCAGUGAUGCAGACAGGGUCCCUGUCCAGCUUUCUGAUUCUUCGAGCUGUCUCUAGUGUGAGCCUCACCCAGACCAUGGCGGCCCCCCUUCACUUUGAAACCAUCCAAAACAGGGGGCUGGCAGGACACUUCUCCUUACUUUUCUGACCAGGGGUGGGCAGGAGAGUUUCAAAUUUCAAAUCCCCCUCCCAGGGAGCACUUGGGAGGCUGUUGGCCUGGCCCUUCUGCCGGAGGAAGAGCCCACUCCAACCCCAAGCCCUUCGUGGCUAUCCUGACCAAGGGGACCUGGUCUCUAGCAGGGCUUCCCCAUCCCUCUGUGGUCUCCCCUUCCUGAUCAGGGUCUUGUUGGAAGCCAGAGCCCCAACCUGCAUUCACUCAGGCAGCCAGGAGGGAGAUCUGGGGCAACGUUGGGACUAGUUUGCUCAUUACAUUUCCUGAUCUGGGUCUCAGGUGCUGAUGAAAAGUGGGCCUGGGGGUUAGUCAUGCUGGGAUUGUCACUCUCUUGAAAGUGCCUCUGUGUAGAGCCCUCCAUCACCUUUGCAACCCAGGGAGCCUGGGACACUGUCCCCAGUCACAGACCUUCAUGUCCCGUCCCCCUUGCAAGAACAGCCUCCAGAACCCAGCCUCUUCAUGGGCAGAAGAUGUGGCGUGUCUGUCAUCUUGUCAUUGCCUCCCCUCCCAUUGUCCUCGUGGCACCCCACUCUUCUGUGCAGACACCAGGCCCUUCUUCAGGCCCCAAAGUAGCUUGUGAUUGAAGUUGACCCUGGAAUGUUCAUUUUGGUCAGAAUGUGAAAGAUGCUUCCAUAUCCACUCUCCACGGAGGCCCUGAGGGCAGGAGGAUCAUGAGGUCAGAGCCAGCCUCAGCAAAGACAGGUGCCAAGCUACUCAGGGAGACCCUGUCUCUAAAUAGAAGACAAAAUAGGGCUGGGAGGGGGCUCAGUGGUUGAGUGCCCCUGAGUUCAAUCCCUGGUACCCCACCUCUCCAAAAAACGGCCCCUUGUUCCUGCUGAUGAGAAGAACCAUGGCCUCUGAGACAGAAGCUCCCCUGCUUCUUUUUUUACUAACAAAGCAAUACAACAUUGUUUUUUCCCCCAAAGCUGUGUCCUGAUUAUUGGAUUGGCACUGGGGACAAGAAUGGAGUUUUCAGUAACUCCUUAACCUCAUGUUUCCAUCCCCCACAGCUGUUAUCUGUCACUAAAUAUUUGUGUUUGAAACAUUUUGCCUAAUUUUAGUAGAUGCUGUAGCACAGCCUCCUCCUCCUCUGUUUGCUGGUGCAGAUUCACAUCCUUUGUUUUCAAACUCUAUCCAUUACCAUGCAAGCAGGGACUCCUGUGGAUAGCAUAGAAUUGGACAUUGUUUUUAUUUUUUCUUAUGACCUCUACCUUUGUAUAAGAUUGCUUAGUCAAUUCACAUAUAAUGUCACUGUUGAUGUCGUUAUAUUUAUAUCUGCCUUUUUACAUUCUAUUUUCUUAUGUCUUUUUUGAGGGGGUGGGGACUGGGGAUUGAAAGCAGGGGCACUCAACCACUGAGCCACAUCCCCAGCCGUAUUUUGUAUUUUAUUUAGAGAAAGGAUCUCAUCAAAUUGCUUAUGACCUCAUCAUGGCUGAGGCUGGCUUUGAACUCAUGGUCCUCCUGCCUCAGCCUCACAAGCUGCUGGGAUUUGAAGUGUGCACCACCAUGGCUGACCCUUACAUCUUCUUUAUUCCUCUAUCCCUCUUCAUUGUGUGUGUGUUUUACUGAAGAUUGAGCCCAGGGGUGCUGUAACACUGAACUACAUCUCCAUUGCAGGUUUUAUUUUGAGACGGAGUGAAGCUAAAUUGCUGAGGCUGCUCUAGCUAGUUACUGAUUUAUUUAUUUUUCUUUGUUUGGUUUGUUUAGCUCUUUGUUAAUGAAGACUUCUGAAUUUUUUUUUUCCAGAAAAUUAACUCAUUAUAGAGCUGGGACCUCCUGAGAAACUGAGGCAGUGAAAAGAUCCCCUUGAACCCUUGAUUCUUGCAAUCGCAUCAGAAAGUUUUCAGACACAUCAUCCUGUAACAGACAUGAACUUCUUGAAGGGGAACGGGACAUUCUCAAGGAUGAGAGUGGGUCCUCUCAGAGAGCAGAGGGACACUGUGCCUCUUCUGCGCUCCAGUUUUAUUGGAGUCCCUGGGAAGUUUCCAGAGAGUCCUGCCCAGGUGCACCUUUUGACUUUUGACAGCAGGGUGACAUCAUAUUUUCAAAUCUGGACUGUCAUGGUAACUCUAUGUCACCUUGGCCCAUGAUGAGCCAAAUUGGAUACUUAUCCAAAGAAUUAUCCUUUCUUCCAAAAUUUGGUCUGUGAAAAGAGUCACAAAAUCUGUCCCUGCCUAGUAACUUGGGUUCCUCUUAGGGGGUUUCCUGCCUGCAUUUCUCAUGCAGAUCACAGGUAGUUUGCUGAGGAAUGUGACAUCUUCUGUCCACUUAGGCCAGGCAGAGUUGAAGUAAAUUGCUUUUUGGAAAAGAAUGCACAUGCAGGUCAGCACGGUGGGCCCCAUUUUACAGGAUUAUUCUCUUAACCUUCUGUUCCCACCAUUCUAGUGUGUGUCCUCUAAAAGACUAAGAGACACAGGUACAGAAAAAAGCACGGCUUUCGCUGAGAGUCUUUCAAGAUGGAACACCUGGGGGAGCAGGCAAGUUGCAGUCAGCAUUUUAUCCUCUGGUUCACAAGGUCCCCGCUUCCCACCCCAGUUCCUUGUUGGCAAAGUACUAUGGGGUGUACCAACUUCCAGAUCUUCACCUGGGCUUCCCACUGGGCGGUUUAAAGAAGUAUGCUCCUGGGCAGACUGGCACAUGUCUGAAAUCCCAGUGGCUGGGGUGGUUAAUGCAGGAAAAUUGCAAGUUUGAAGCCAGCCUACCAGCUUAGUAAGGCCCUAAGCAACUUAGCCAGACCCUGUGUAAAAGUAAAAAAGAGCUAGAAAUUUGGCUCAGUGGUUAGGCAGCCCUCAGUUAAAUCCCUGGUAUCAGAAACCCCACAUAGGGCUGGGGAGGUGGCUCAAGCCGUAGCGCGCUUGCCUGGCAUGCGUGCGGCCCGGGUUCGAUCCUCAACACCACAUACAGACAAAGAUGUUGUGUCAGCCAAUAACUAAAAAAUAAAUAUUAAAAAAUUCUCUCUCUCUCACUCUCAAAAAAAAAAAAAAAAGAAACCCCACAUAUUUGUAUAUAAAGCAAUACACCAUUAGUUGUCCCCACCUCCCUUUGUCCUUUUGUGCCAGGAAAGUCUUGUUGGAUUGAGUGCAUCUUGGACAUAGACCGUUUUUACUUUUCUACAUCAACACUGUUUCUUUCUCUCUUGGUCAGGGUGACCCCUCCCCUACCUCCUGUGUGUCCAGGGUGGUUCAGGUGCAUGGACUCGGGAUCUGCCACAUCCACAGUCUGGGGCUGUACGAGUAUCCAUUUUGCUCUACUUGCCCUCAGGCUGCCUUUCUUAUGUCUCAACUCUACAUUUAAGGCAACAUACUAUAUUCUGAAUAUAGAUCAGUGGACUUUUUAUUUCUCACACCAAGUACAUCUCAUCAGAAUAAGCGACACAUUCAUACUAACAACUCCAGCUAAAUAGAAAACCCUUAUCCUACCUAGCUCUCCAUCCUUCCACAUACAGUUGUAAGUCCUUUGCUACAUUCCAUUUUUGUAUGUUUAUUCUUAUACAUGUCAUAUCUCUAAAAUUACAAACUAAAUAGUGUCUGGCUGGAAAAGUUAUUGCAUCAGGAAAUUCUAAAUUCUAAGUCUUUUGAGGAAGUUAAAAGGAGACCAGUGAUCUAAUUAAGAAUUUUGUUCAUUAUUUUUAUUAUUUAUUUAUUUAUGGUGCUGGUGAUUGAACUCAGUGGCACUUGGCCACUGCACCACAUACCCAGCCAUGUUUGGUAUUUUAUUUAGAGUCAAGCUCUCAUCGAGUUGCUUAGCACCUCAUUUUUACUGAUGCUAGAUUUGAACGAGCAAUCCUCCUGUCUCAGCCUCCUGAGCCUCUGGGAUUACAGGCAUGAACAACCAUGCUUGGCCUAACCCUCUUAUUUGUCAAUUUCUUCACUUGAUUGAUAGUAGGUUGGAGUCACCAUCUGGAGUUAUUCUCUCAGGCCCAUUACAGUUAUGCUCACACCCACCUUCUUUGAACCACAAUAAAAGGGAUGCUCAGAGGCAAAGUG